GAAAGGAAUGUUUUUGACAAAGGAUCCCAUCUGUGUCACUCAAUUCUACACUGGCUAGAUGCUCCUUGCCUGUUUUUUUUUUUUGUUUGUGUUUUUAAAUUUUAUGGCUGCACCUUUGGCAUAUGGAAGUUCCUGGGCCAGGGACUGAAUCUGAGCCACAGCUGCAACCUACACCUUAGCUCCAAUAAUGCCAGAUCCUUGAACCCACUGGGCUGGACUGGGGAUAGAAUCCAUACCUCUGCAGUGGGAACUCCUAGAUGUAUCUAUCUUGUCUGAUUUGCUAAGAUUUCAUGUUCCCUCUUUCCCAUCGGAUCAUCUACCCCUAACAGGUGGGGAGCAGCAGUAAAGUCAACACUGCUAUUUAUCAAGCGCUGAGAAUGGACUGAUUUCUUAGAGUGGCCAGGGGAGGGAGAAGCAGUGUAAUUUCCCUCUUAUAAAUACCCAGCACAGACUUUUGACAUUAGCAUGUGUCUGCUGGUGAUGACAGUGGUGACAUGUUAAUGACUGAUAUCUGGUUGUCACGCCCACACUCUUUGCUCCUUUCAGUGAGGGUGGUGUGGGUACAGAGUGACAAAGUGAGCAGGGCCAGAUCUGGGUAAACUAGUGGCCACCAAGGUGGCGUCACCCAAGCCUGCUCUAUGCAGAUGACUGUGGGGGCCCUGCUGUGGGACCCGACAGUCCCACUUUCAGAGAAACUACAUGGAGUAAUAGUCUGGGUGUGCAGGAGGCCUCUGUUAAAAUGCAGAAAGGUAGUUGUCAACAACAGGUAUUCACAGUGGGGGAGAUGCCUACAGAUGUGAGCCUGCGUUACAGUUCACCACGGGCUCUGUUGGGUAGAAAGGAUGCCACAUGAAUGCUUUUUAGGUGAGUAUCGUGCAUGAUUCUGAGGGACUAGGAUGCCAGAGGUGAGGAGGAGAGACCAUUUGGCCCCUGAAACGGAGGCUGUAAAGGGCAUGAGUGGCUCUGGGUGGCCUAAGGACCCUGAACGCAUGCACUGGGCGUGGAGAACUGAGGCUGAGAGCUUUCCUUCUGGGGCCAGUGGCUAAGCCUACCUGGGGCAGCCCUCAGGGCACCUGCAGCCAGCAGGACUGGGCAUCCCUGGAGGAAGUCCCUCUGGCUGGCUGAGAUUGCCAGAGAGCAGAAGGUCUGCCCUGUUGCACACAGCCCCACGACUUUCUUUUGAUUUUAAUAGUCUUGAAUAGAAAUGUUCUCCAGUAGCUUUGCAGUUCUCUUUCUUCCUCUCCCCCCCUCCCCUGAUCCCCACCCCCAGACAGCAGUAUCUUUUUAAUUUUUUUUUCCCCACCCAAAGACUUGCAGACAAAUACCAACCACUCCUCACUGAAUCUGAGGUGGGAUGUCCAGGCUCCGCUUGGGGCCACCCCUGCAUCCCUGUGGCAGCCCCUGGACAGAACCCUGGGGCUCCAAGGAACACAAUUUGAAAGUGACUGUGGAGAAAACAGCGCGGGACCUUGAGUCAGAAGGUCCUGGAAGGAAGCCAAGCUCUACCCCGUAUUAGUCACAUAAGCCUGUCUCUCAGCCCCCACUGAGACUUUGCCUCAUUUUUCAAAUGGGAGAUGAUAACAUGAGCCCUGCCUUUACCCCAGGAUUAUCAUGUGAAUCAUGUGAUAAUCAAAUAGGUGGAAAGUGAUCCCCAUCCAAGCUUCCAUUGUCCUUCACGUUAUACCCACCACUGGCUGCUUAAAAUCCACUGACCGUGACUUCGCACCCUCCUGCAGGGUCAAGAAUGUGAACAUCAUGAUUCUGAGCCAUCACUUACUGCAGCCCUUGGAAAUCAGAGGGAGGCAGAAACUCCUUUCAAGAGCCUGAUGACUAUGCCUCUUUGUUAAUUCUGAUGUAUGCCUUUCUAUUUUUUCCAUCUCCUUCCUUGUCAGACUCCUGGCUGUCACUUCUCUCCGCGCUAAGGGUGCCUGUCGAAUCCCCAGUUGGCUGCCUCUUAUCCAUUGUGGAGUUGACAAGUGGAUAAUGAAGUUGAUGAGAACCCUGUGUAAAGUUAGGUACACAGCUCAGGUGAAGUGUAUCAUCGUGUACCUCUAUGUACCAUCUGUUCAGCAGCUAAGGAUAUUUCUAACUUCCAUCUUGCCUGUGUCUCAGAUGAAGGCAGCUGCAAAACAGAGGGAUUGCCCUUUACACUCAUGACUUCAAAACCUGUAUUGAGUUUGGGAGCCACCAGCCAACCCUCACGCAUGCUCCUCUGCUGCCAGACCCAUAGGAGGACCCUGGGUCAAGGUUGAAUUGACAGAAACAGGUGUCUUUAUGCCAAGUUCUCUGACACCAGGUUCUGGCUGCCUUGGGUCCUUUGGUUUUCUUUCCUUCCCUGGGCCGCUGUGUUCCACCAGGUAACACAGGUAGCUCACAUUUCCCUAGGGCUUCUACCCUUUCAGGCCCCACGGUGAGUACUUUGCAUUAUUAUUAUUAUUUUUGUCUUUUUGUCCUUUUAGGGCCACACUCGCAGCAUAUGGAGGUUCCCAGGCUAGGGGGUGAAUCACAGCAACGCCAGAUCUGAGUCGCAUCUGCGACCUACACCACAGCUCAUGUCAAUGCCAGAUCCUUAACCCACUGAGCAAGGCCAAGGAUCAAACCCCCAACCUCAUGGUUCCUAGUCGGAUUCAUUUCCCCUGUGCCACAAUGGGAACUCCCUGAAUUCUUAUUCUCAAUUCAUCCUCAAAACAACCUGAGAAUAUAGAUGCUGUUCUUUCCUUCUUAAAGAUAAGAAAACUGAGCAAAGAGAGGUUGAAGAGCUUGCUUAAGGUCACAGAUUUUUAAGAAACAGAAUCAGAGUUGGAACCCUGCCUGAUGUAGUACAGAUUCUUCCUUCUGAGUUCUCAACAGUGAAUCCAAGGCCCUGCUGCAUCCUGGGUGUCCACGUUUUUUCCUCCAAAAGGUGAGUGGUCUGCACUGGAAAUCUCACAUGCACCAUUCAGUCCACUGAGAACAAGGAAAGAUGUCCUCCAGGGAGCAGAGGGGUGCCCCCCCCACAUGAGGUUCUGUGGGGGUGGGGGGAUGGGGCUACAGGUAGACAAGAGUCAGGUGGUAUGAGUUCUGAAGGAGUAGGAAGGUUGCUUGAAAAGUACUGCCUCCACCUGCUGGUUGAUGCCUGAAAAUUCCUUUCCCUGGGAUUCAACCUUUCCUAUCAUGGUCACGAGUCAGACUUAACAUAUGGCCAGAGUUAGGAGAUAUUUAUAUUUUAAUAUUCAUAGUAAAGUGUAAAUGACUGAUACCGGCUCCCUUUUAAAGAUCCAUGGAGGGUUUUGAGAGAAGGAAGAAGCAUCCAGUGGUGCUCCUGUGUGUGUAAAGAAGGAUGGGAAAGAAGAGAGGGGACAACAAACUGAGGAUGGAUGCUCUAAUGUGGGAAAAGGGAUGCAGAAAGGGGAGGCUGAGAGAUUAGACUCUACCAGCUCUGCACUUUUGUCUAAAACCAGACCUGGCUCCAGAUACUCUCAUUCUCUUAUACCAUCAGAGAUGUUCGUUGCAUAAAGUUAAUUAUGGCACCAGGCACCACAGAGGAGCAUAAAAAACAUAGAAGACAUUUGGCAUUUGAUCUACAGAGUGUCCAGAUUCAGAAGCAAUUUGAAGCAAAAAACCAAAGAAUGAUGGAAUUGCUGGGGGAAGAAAAGCAGCUAUUGUUCCUGUUUCCAGAUGGGGAUACCAAGGCACAGAGCGGUUUCCUGACCCCCAACUUCCCUCCUCACUUGUCACCCUCUAUCUGCACGUGUGUACUGCUGUCUGCUCUGCUCUCAGACAAGAGGGACCACCACGCCUUACCCUCUGCCUGUUGGUCAGGGUGGAAGCAUGGAUGGUGAGUCAGGUGCCUAAAGGGGGAUCCUGAGAGAGAAAGGAGAAAAGCAAACCACUGUUCUUCUGGGGCUGAGCCCCAGCUCCAUGCAGCCCUGUAUCCAGCUCUGUGGCCAGCUCUCCUGGCUGGGAACUACAUCUGGGGCUAAAGAGCUGUGUGGGUAAACUCUGGGACUGUUAAAGUAUUUUAGUCUACAUAAGUUUCCCACUUAAACACAGACUCCAUGAAGGCAGGGACCUUGUCUACAGCCUUGUGUUUCAGUUUUGUAUCCCAGCACCUAGACCAUAGUUGGUAUUCAAAUAUUUGUUGAUGGAAUAUUUCGUAUUUUAGUUUUAAAAAUUGCAUAGUUGAUGUGCAAUAUUAUAUGUUACAGGUGUACAAUAUAGUGAUUCACAAUUUUUCAAGGUUAUAAAAUAUUGGCUAUAUUCCCAAUGCUGUACAAUAUAUCCAUUAGCUUAUUUAUUUUAUGUUUAGUAGUUUGUACCUCUUAAUUCCCUACCUCUAUCUUGCCCCUUUCCUAUUCCUUCUCCCCAGUGGUAACCCCUAGUUUGUUCUCUAUAUCUGUGAGUCUGUUUUUCUGUUACACUCGCUAGUUUACUUUUUAGAUUCCACAUUUAAAUGAUAUCAUACAGUAUUUGUCUUUCUCUGUCUGACUUAGACUACUA